rnacentral:lncRNA from 1 species
GUGGCUCCAGAACAAGCUGCAGAAUUUCCCUGUUGCAGAAUUUCUGAGAGAAUUGUAGACCCGAGAGCUGGAAGGGGCCUCGCGAGCUGGCGCGAGCCCCUUUCCUUCCAGCAGGGGCAGAUCUGUGCCUCCUGCUUUGUGAACGAGGUGACUGCGGUGCUGAGGCUGGUGGUUGCUGUGCUGACGUGACCAGCAGGCGACGCUGGUGUGGAGGCUGGGGGAUCCUUGCCUUCUGUUACCCCAAACUGCUUCUCACAUGUAGAAGAUGCCACCAUCAUGCAGAGUAUGAAUCAGGAAACAUGAAAGUCAUGAAAAAAGGCACGCAGGACCCACAGGAGCCUUGGCAGCCAAGUCUGAAGGAUGUCACCCCUGGCGCACAGUGGGUCCCCGCACACUGACAGUGGAGGCUGGGCAAAGGUGACCGGCGACAAAAGCAGUGAGCUUGAAGGCCGCGAGACCGGCCCGUUGGGCCUGGGUUUGCGCGCAGACCGUAUGUGGCCGGUGGAUGCGCGGUGCCUCUGAGAUGUCACAAAAGUUGGAUGGAUGGAUGAAAGAAUGACCAGUCACACUGAAAGGAGCAAGUGCCUGCAAAUGGACUCUUUCCAUCCAUGUGCCUUGUCUUCGCCUAGUUAAUCAUCGCCAGACGAAGAACGGAGCCGGUGGGUCUGGGGGCCGUGACGUCCACCUUCCGUCUUGCUCAGCGUUGCUUCUCCUGGAGACGCGGCUUCACCCUGGGUGAUGCCUCCUGGCUACAAGUAUUACCACUUGCAAAGAGGGAAAAGAGAAAUAACCUGAAUAUUUGGGAUUCCAAAAGUUGUCUUGUACGAGAACGACCCUAAGACAAGAAAAAUGCUGAAUGCCGCUGUCAGAAGGCGUGUUUUCCCUCCCCCGUGCUGGCUAGCCCCAGGCAGAAUUUGGAGGGCUCUUCUCCUUUCGCCCUGCUCCAGAAGGAGCCCGCAAAAACGUUCUUGCUGGCUCCCUGCUUCAGCCUUGUCCUCACCCUGUUGCAGCCAGAGUGGUUGUUCCCCGUCCCUCCCGUGCCUCGGUCCUUCAGCGGCUCCCAAUGACCUCAGGAUAAGACUAGCGCGGAGUUCAAAGCCUUCCACCAUCCGGCCUGAGCUGGUUCACCUCCUGGUCGCACUUUUUCCUCUUACUUGGCCAGGCCGCAACCUCGCGGCCCGCCCUCCUGCCAGGCUCCAGGCUCCUGCCCUCGUUUCCGCGGUCUCCACUGCCCUCCCCUCUGCGAGACGAUAG